GUGACGUGGGGUUGACGCUCGGCGGCGGGUUUUGCUGAGGUCCGCGGCCGGUCGGUGGCGGCCGCUGGUGCUCGGGGGCUUCGGAGAGCGCGCGGUGUGGCGUGAGUGGGGGCGGCGUGUGGCCGGGGCCAUGACGAGCAAUGCCGGGGAGUGGUGCCUCAUGGAAAGCGACCCCGGGGUCUUCACCGAGCUCAUUAAAGGAUUCGGUUGCCGAGGAGCGCAAGUAGAAGAAAUAUGGAGCUUAGAGCCUGAGAGUUUUGAAAAGUUAAAGCCAGUUCAUGGGCUAAUAUUUCUUUUCAAGUGGCAACCAGGAGAAGAACCUGCGGGCUCUGUGGUUCAGGACUCCAGACUUGAAACAAUAUUUUUUGCCAAGCAGGUAAUUAAUAAUGCUUGUGCCACUCAGGCUAUUGUAAGUGUGUUACUGAAUUGUACCCAUCAAGAUGUCCACUUAGGAGAGACAUUAUCUGAAUUUAAAGAAUUUUCCCAAAGUUUCGAUGCAGCUAUGAAAGGGUUGGCACUGAGCAACUCAGAUGUGAUUCGACAAGUGCACAACAGUUUUGCCAGACAGCAGAUGUUUGAAUUUGAUACAAAGACAUCAGCCAAAGAAGAAGAUGCUUUUCACUUUGUCAGUUAUGUUCCAGUUAAUGGAAGGCUGUAUGAAUUAGAUGGAUUAAGAGAAGGACCAAUUGAUUUAGGUGCAUGCAAUCAAGAUGACUGGAUUAGUGCAGUGAGGCCAGUCAUAGAGAAAAGGAUACAAAAGUAUAGUGAAGGUGAAAUUCGAUUUAAUUUAAUGGCCAUUGUAUCUGACAGAAAAAUGGUAUAUGAACAGAAGAUAGCCGAGUUACAAAGACAACUUGCAGAGGAGGAACCCAUGGAUACAGACCAGGGUGGUACUGUGUUAAGUGCUAUUCAGUCAGAAGUUGCCAGAAACCAGAUGCUUAUUGAAGAAGAAGUACAGAAGUUAAAGAGAUAUAAGAUUGAAAAUAUCAGAAGGAAGCAUAACUACCUGCCUUUCAUUAUGGAAUUGUUAAAGACCUUAGCAGAGCACCAGCAGUUAAUUCCACUUGUAGAAAAGAUAUUCUCAUGUAGGGGAAGGAAUCUUUAAUAAGUUCCCCAAGUGAUUCUAAUGCAACUGAUCUGUGUACCACAUUUUGAGAAACACUUUGAGAAGACACUACUAGGCAAAUAAAAAUUUGGACCAUUAAUUUAAAGACAAGAAUACAUGGCAAAAGAAAAACAGAAUGCAAAGAAAGCUCAGGAAACUAAGUGAAGAGGAUAUUUGGACCUGUGUACACUGUGCUGUACUUAUUUUCAUGGAAACCAUUAAAUAUUAAGGGAAUGUGAACAACAUCCUGAUUGACUCAGUGCACGUUUGGUGUCCUGUCCUUUAUGCAUGGAUUCAAAAACUUUCCUACCUGCAUCAUGUGCAUGUAGUGCAUAUUAAAUAAAGGUGGCAUAAAAAGUGCUGGCCAAAUUCUGUUAUUUGAUAUUGAACCUGAGAGCCCUUGGUACUCUGGAAAUAUAACUGUAGUAACGAACCUGGGAAAUAGACAAAUGAUAUUUUCUAUCUGUAGUUGUUCUGAUUAAUACUUUUAUUUGUUAGCUUAAAUAUACAAUUUAAAAAUGUCAGAUUUUACUUAAACUGGGUCAUCUGUUUCUAAUUAUUUAUGGCAAAAAUAAUCAGUAUUUUUGUUUUUGAUAUGUGUUUUGCGUAUCUUAAAAUUGAAUUUUAUCUCACACCAAUUUGAUUUUUUAAGGCCAGUAAUUUGGAAAGAAUAUAAUACAGUUUCUAAUGAAUUACAUUGCUAUCUGUAAAGAAGACAAUAAACAUCCCAAUUUUAUUUUAGCAAACUUUCUUCAAUUGUUUGGGGUUAUUUGUUUAUAUAUUGUAGGAUUAUUCUAGGAAGGUCUGAAUAUUUUGCUUCAAAACAAAACUGGAGGUUAGAAAAUGUCAAUCUGAAGAGUUCAGAGUUACUCUCAAGUUUUCAAGAUCUGGUUCUGUGCAUUCAUUGAGAAUUAAAGGUUUGUUAAGUUA